GACCAAAUUUCAGCAAGUCUCUCUACACACUUUUAAACACUCUUCAUGCAUCUCUAGCACUUGAAAUCAAUCAAAUUCAUUGUAUUCUAGCAUAUUAUAACCCCAAACAACACUAGAUAAGUCAUUUAGUGGUUUAACGAAAUGUUUCCUAGUUCUUAGCCCAUUUGGGACCCAAUUUCAACAAGUCUUUCUCCACACUUCUAAACACUCUUCAUGCACCUCUAGCACUUGUAAUCAAUCCAAUUUAUUGUAUUCUAACAUAUUCUAACCCCAAACAACACUAUACAAGCCAUUUAAUGCUUCAAAGCAAUGGUUGUGGGUUCUUAGCCCAUUUUGGACAAAAUUUCAGCAAGUCUCUCUACACACUUUUAAAAACUCUUCAUGCAUCUCUAGCACUUGCAAUCAAUCAAAUUCAUUGUAUUCUAGCAUAUUAUACCCCCAAACAAUACUAGAUAAGUCAUUUAGUGGUUCAACGCAAUGUUUCCUAGUUCUUAGCCCAUUUGGGACCCAAUUUCAACAAGUCUCUCUCCACACUUCUAAACACUGUUUAUGCACCUCUAGCCCUUGUAAUCAAUCAAAUUUAUUGUAUGCUAACAUAUUCUAACCCCAAACAACACUAGACAAGCCAUUUAAUUCUUCAAAGCAAUGGUUGUGGGUUCUUAUCCCAUUUUGGACCAAAUUUCAGCAAGUCUUCCUACACACGUUUAAACACUCUUCAUCUAUCUCUAUAACUUGUAAUCAAUCAACUUGAUUAUAUUCUAACAAAUUCUAAUUCCAAAUAACACUAAGUAAGUCAUUUAGUGGUUCAACGCAAUGAUUCCGAGUUCUUAGCCCAUUUGGGACCCAAUUUCAACAAGUCUUUCUCCACACUUCGAAACACUCUUCAUGCACCUAUAGCACUUGUAAUUAAUCAAAUUUAUUGUAUUCUAACAUAUUAUAACCCCAAACAACAUUAGACAAGCCAUUUAAUUCUUCAAAGCAAUGAUUGUGGGUUCUUAUCCUAUUUUGGACCAAAUUUCAGCAAGUCUUCCUCCACACUUUAAACACUCUUUAUCUAUCUCUAUCACUUUUAAUCAAUCAACUUCAUUGUAUUCUACCAAAUUAUAAUCCCAAAAAACACUAAAUAAGUCAUUUUGUGGUUCAACGCAAUGUUUCAGAGUUUUUAGCCCAUUUGGGACCCAAUUUCAACAAGUCUUUCUCCACACUUCUAAACACUCUUCAUGCACCUCUAGCCCUUGUAAUCAAUCAAAUUUAUUGUCUGUAACAUAUUCUAACCCCAAAAAACACUAGACAAGCAAUUUAAUUCUUCAAAGCAAUGGUUGUGGGUUCUUAUCCCAUUUUGGACCAAAUUUUUAGCAAGUCUUCCUACACACUUUUAAACACUCUUUAUCUAUCUCUAUUACUUGUAAUCAAUCAACUUCAUUGUAUACUAACAAAUUCUAACCCCAAACAAACACUAAAUAAGUUAUUUAGUGGUUCAACGCAAUGUUUCCGAGUCAUUAGCCCAUCUCGGACCCAAUUUCAACAAGUCUUUCUCAACACUUCUAAACACUCUUCAUGCACCUCUAGCACUUGUAAUCAAUCAAAUUUACUGUAUUCUAACAUAUUCUAACCCCAAACAACACUAGACAAGCCAUUAAUGCUUCAAAUUUAUUGCUGGACCAAAUUUCAGCAAGUCUUCCUACACACUUUUAAACACUCUUUAUCUAUCUCUAUUACUUGUAAUCAAUCAACUUCAUUGUAUACUAACAAAUUCUAACCCCAACAACACUAAAUAAGUGAUUUAGUGGUUCAACGCGAAAUUUCCGAGUUUUUAUCCCAUUUGGGACCCAAUUUCAACAAGUCUUUCUCCACACUUCUAAACACUCUUCAUGCACCUCUAGCACUUGUAAUCAAUCAAAUUUAUUGUAUUCUAACAAAUUCUAACCCCAAACAACACUAUACAAGCUAUUUAAUGCUUCAAAGCAAUGGUUAUGG
rnacentral:lncRNA from 1 species